CUGCUGUGGCUCUGGUUACACCAGUGGCGAGGAUUUGAUCUCUGGCCCGGGAACUUCGGCAGGUCGAAGGUGUAGCCAAAAAAAAAAAAGAGAGAGAGAGAGAGAGAAACUACAGACACAGGAAAAAACACGGAUGGUUGUAAAACUAGCAAAAUCAGCCAGCCGAGGGCUGACAGGGCUGGGGCUCGGGGCGCAGAAAAGAGGCAACACACAGAGAUGGUAUUUACAUGAAGUUCUGGAACAGGAAAUCCUAAGACACGGCGAUAAAAUCAGAAGGCGGCUGCCCCUCGGGUGAGGCAGGAGGCCAGGCAGGAAGGAGCUCCAGGGCGGAGGCAGCGUUUGCACAGAUGCUCACGCCUCUCGAGAACGCUGAGCAGACACUCAAGGUCUGUGCGCUUUGUCGUGUAAACUACAUCAUCCUCUCAUUUUUAAUUUUUGUCUCUUAUGGCUGCACCCACAGCAGAGGUAGGUUCCCAGGCCAGGGGAUGAGUUGGAGCGGCAGCUGCCAACCUGGCAACCGGGGCUGCUUUGCUUAACCCUCGGGGCCAGGGGUCAACCUGCGUCCUCACAGAUGCAGUCAGAUUGGUUUCUGCUGAGCCACGACGGGAACCCCUCAUAUCACAUAUUUUAAACAAUGUGACGUAGCUGACAGCGUAAAAAGUUAUCUUCAUAACAGAUACAAGGAACGAAGCGAAAAUCAGAAGAUGGAGAAGGCUUCACGGCAUGUACGGCGUGGCGCUGGCAGCUCCAAGCGACGACGGGGUAAGUGGCCCACGAAGAAGGUGAGCAAGAAGGACCAAGAGAUUCGUGGAAGAAGCAGCCGCAAAUGAAAGGGAAACCAGCGUUCGACCUCACGAGCCACCCAUCCCGCCGUCACUUCUCCUGGAAAAGGAAAACCAGGAGUUCCCAUCAUGGCUCAGCAGUAACGAAGCCAACUAGCAUCCAUGAGGACGCAGGUUCGAGCUCUGGCCUCACUCAGGGGGUUCGAGCCCUGGCCUCACUCAGGGUCCGGCGUGGCCGUGAGCUGUGGCGUAGACCACAGACAUGGCUCAGAUCCCGCGUUGCUGUGGCUGUGGUGUAGGCUGGCGGCUAGAGCUCCGAUUCAACCCCUAGGCUGGGAACUUCCAUACACAUGGGUGCAGCCAUAAAAAGACUAAAAAAUAAAAAAUAAAAGGAAAACCAAACUACACCACUAGGACUGACGAGCAAACUGAGUCGGGGAAAAAGAACGUGUCUCUGGUUCUUGGUUUCACUCCCGGGGCGGCGCUCAGAGCUGCGUUUGGGGCAGUUUCACUCACCCUCCCCGAGCAGGGCGCACCCAGGAAGGUACGUCGGCAGAGGAAAGUCUCUGUUGAUCGGAUAGAUUCCGAGGAUGCUGCCCAAGGGCCUCCGGGCCGUGUCUGCAGGUGUAGGCGCUCAGUGGUGUCACCAGGCUGCUGCCAGGCGCUCUAGGAUUGACCGGCAUUGCCCGCCUUACGGAACAGACACCUCAGAAGGGGCUGCCUGGUGCCGUCAAGGUCGGGAGGCCAAGGCCAAGGACCAGGCCGUGUCCUGAACGACACAUCCUAUAACGAGGAACUUGGCCCCCGAAUUGCUGGACAGCCCCGGGCUCCCUUUCACCUGUUCGGUACUCGCUUACUGCGUAAAAGAGGCGCAGGCAGAAUGUGCUUGCUGCCGUAUCAGUAUCUGCUUUUCUGCCAGAACCCGGAAGCAAAGUGAGACCUUUCAGUGAUCUUUCCAGAGCGACUUGACACGACCACCCCACCCUGGCGGCUGAAACUCACAGGACCACAGAGCUCCCAGCAAAGCAGUGCUGCCGCGGAGUUUUCAUGAAAUUAAAAACAACAACUCUGAUCCCAAAGACGUCCCGCGGCCCGACGGCACCAUCCUGUUCAUCACCGCCUUAGAGGCACCGGACCUUUCUACUGACGCACGGCGACGACCACCUGCCCGCUGCAGGCCAGCAAACGGCGCUGAGAACAAGCCCCGUUCGCAGGGCCACGUUCCGUUCCGGCUCUGUCCCCUGACCCUCUGGCAAAGCCACAUGCUGUCCUCACAGCUUCUGGGAGA
ensembl:lncRNA